GCAGAAGAAUCACAGCUGAUGAACACAUGUAGUCGACACAUGAUUUUUAUUCUCGGCCUUCUCUCGUGACAAAACUCCUCCUCUGCUCAACUCUUUCUGAUUCAUGUCUACAUUGAUAGAUACGAUACUUUUAUAAACCCUCGUCAGAUCAGACAGGAACUGUGCUUCUUCUCUUCCAAAACAUGUCUCAACAUGGCCUAAGCAGUUUGAUUGCAUCCACA
rnacentral:lncRNA from 1 species